GCCUUCGGGUACAAUUGAGACAGGUGGUGCAUGGUUGUCGUCAGCUCGUGUCGUGAGAUGUUGGGUUAAGUCCCGCAACGAGCGCAACCCUUGUGUUUUAGUUGCAAACAGGUCAAGCUGUGCACUCUAGACAGACUGCCGUGGACAACACGGAGGAAGGUGGGGAUGACGUCAAAUCAUCAUGCCCCUUAUGAUCUGGGCUACACACGUGCUACAAUGGCCGGUACAACGGGCAGCGAAGGAGCGAUCCGGAGCGAAUCCUAAAAAGCCGGUCCCAGUUCGGAUUGCAGGCUGAAACUCGCCUACAUGAAGUUGGAGUUGCUAGUAAUCGCGAAUCAGAAUGUCGCGGUGAAUGCGUUCCCGGGUCUU
rnacentral:rRNA from 1 species